AUUGAACGCUGGCGGCAGGCUUAACACAUGCAAGUCGAGGGGAAACGAUAUUGGAAGCUUGCUUCCGAUAGGCGUCGACCGGCGCACGGGUGAGUAACGCGUAUCCAACCUGCCCAUCACUUGGGGAUAACCUUGCGAAAGUAAGACUAAUACCCAAUGAUAUUUAUAGAAGGCAUCCGAAAUGAAUUAAAGAUUUAUCGGUGAUGGAUGGGGAUGCGUCUGAUUAGCUUGUUGGCGGGGUAACGGCCCACCAAGGCGACGAUCAGUAGGGGUUCUGGGAGGAAGGUUCCCCAACUUGGAACUGAGACACGGUCCAAACUCCUACGGGAGGCAGCAGUGAGGAAUAUUGGUCAAUGGGCGAGAGCCUGAACCAGCCAAGUAGCGUGCAGGAUGACGGCCCUAUGGGUUGUAAACUGCUUUUAUAGGGGAAUAAAGUGAGCCACGUGUGGUUUUUUGCAUGUACCCUAUGAAUAAGGACCGGCUAAUUCCGUGCCAGCAGCCGCAGUAAGAC
rnacentral:rRNA from 1 species